CUUGCUAAGUUUGAUGGCGACCGGCGCACGGGUGAGUAACACGUAUCCAACCUGUCGAUGACUCGGGGAUAGCCUUUCGAAAGAAAGAUUAAUACCCGAGGGCAUAGUUCUUCCGCAUGGUAGAACUAUUAAAGAAUUUCGGUCAUCGAUGGGGAUGCGUUCCAUUAGGUUGUUGGCGGGGUAACGGCCCACCAAGCCUUCGAUGGAUAGGGGUUCUGAGAGGAAGGUCCCCCACAUUGGAACUGAGACACGGUCCAAACUCCUACGGGAGGCAGCAUG
rnacentral:rRNA from 1 species